GCACCUGUUGAAAAGGAAAAUUGAUUAUUUUAUAUUUUCAAAACUGAGCAGCUAUUCCCAGCUGCUGAAUGCUCCAGAAGCUGAUGAAGCUCACAUGCAACAGGGAGGAAUACAUUAGCAGCUCCUCAUCAGACAGCAGCAAAACUUCCACCCCUCCACAUCUAUACCUUGGAAGUGAAAGAGUGACUGACACAUAAGAUAUGCCAGUGCAAACACUUCAAGGGAUGCAACUAAGCAAGAGCAAGCCACAGUAAAGACACAAGCUUUCGGAAGAGCAAGAAGGCUCUUUUUGUGGCCCAGGAGAAAAUUAGCUGUCUACAGUAAGUAUCACGUGCAUUGUUGAUGCAUAGACCACCGGUAACCAGCUUGAUAUUUUAUUGCUACAAUGGACUAAUAAAAGGCCACCAGUCAAAAACAGCAGGAAGAAAAUUCCUCUCUACUUUAAAACAAUAUAUGUGACUCAGAAACACUGGAGCAACAGCAAGUUGGAACCUCGCAAUGCUAACUGUACGAGGACUGGAGAAUUACACUUUGCAACCUCUGAUUUUUUUUGUUGCUGAGGUUAAAUCCCAACAAGUUUAGCUAACUGCAUUCUAUGACUGAGAAGAACUAUCACAAACAGUAAAAAUUUAUUUUCUGCCAUGCUUGGAAAAGAACCAUUUCUUCUGGCUAGUGUUCUCCUACAUAAGUAUAAAUGCCUCCCAUUACCAUUAACACAGAAAGGAGAGCUCUUAAGCAUUAGACUAGAACUCAGAAGAUCUUGCAUCUAAUCAUACUUCUGCUACAGCAUUUCUACAUGACCUUGGGCCAGACACACAAAAUUCUAUCUAUACUUCAGUCUACUACUGGUAAAUGGAGAUAAUGAUAUAUUUACCCCUUACAGCAGCAUUGUGAAGUCAAACUCAGCUUACUCUAAUAUUGACAUUUGUUUUCUGAUACUGAAAUGAUAAAAGUCGUUAAAGGCCUGUUGCAGUAAGGUUAGAGAGGAGUCUGACUUUCUUUUUUGCAAGUUUACCUUUCCCCUAACACAUCAUUUAAGGAAAAAAGAGUAUUAUUUUGGAAACAGUCUCUGCUAAACAGCACGAGGAAGACUUGUAUGUGGAAGAGCAGCUGCAGAAAUAGAAUAUGCAGUAGAAGAGGAAGAAAACUCCACUCUUGUUCUGUGGAAGAUCACAGAACCUACCUACAGAAGGGCUGAUAACGUAAGCUCAGUGUAUUCUAACAACCAGAAUUUCAACAUUAUAAAAGGAGAAAUGUCUGCAGAUGGCAGCAUGGUGAAAUUACAACCUCUGUCAACUGAAAUGGCAAAGGGGAUAUGGAAAAGUGGCUCCAGUGUAAUAUCAAAACCACGUUGUAGGUUUUUUGGACAGACAGAAAGUGAAUUUACAGAGAAUACAAUUUAGAUGUGCUUUUACGAAAUAAAAGCCACAGUACCAUUUGA